CCUACGGGUGGCAGCAGUGAGGAAUAUUGGUCAAUGGGCGAGAGCCUGAACCAGCCAAGUCGCGUGAAGGAUGACGGCCCUACGGGUUGUAAACCUCUUUUGUCGGGGAGCAAAGAGAGUCACGUGUGGCUCAUUGAGAGUACCCGAAGAAAAAGCAUCGGCUAACUCCGUGCCAGCAGCCGCGGUAAUACGGCGGAUGCGAGCGUUAUCCGGAUUUAUUGGGUUUAAAGGGUGCGCAGGCGGAGGUGCAAGUCAGUGGUCAAAUUGCGGGGCUCAACCCCGGACUGCCGUUGAAACUGCAUCCCUUGAGUGCGCGAGAAGUAUGCGGAAUGCGUGGUGUAGCGGGGAAAUGCAUAGAGAUCACGCAGAACUCCGAUUGCGAAGGCAGCAUACCGGCGCGCAACUGACGCUCAUGCACGAAAGCGUGGGUAUCGAACAGGAUUAGAUACCCCGGUAGUC
rnacentral:rRNA from 1 species